CUCAAACCGCUAUGCCCAUGCACGGACACGAACGAGCUCAAUUUGAGGAACGCCGACCCAUUGAAAUAGGCUUCCCUGGAACGUUCAUCGUAGUUUUUGUGUCUGGAAUCUUGCGGCGCUUCGUCGGUGACUACUAAUAAGCUCAUAUUGACCGAAAGUAGGAAAGGAAGGACGGUGUAACCGAUUAUGUGAGUGUUCCAAUUUCUGUUAUCGCUAUUAACUAUGUAGGUUGAAAUUUCGGUAAGAUAAUGUACGCUUGUAUUGGAUUCUAAUCGACAUGUGUACACGAAAGAUUUGAUUUCUCUGCUCACUGAAACGUUCAAUUUAGGUUACUGAAUUGCAUCCUCUUCGAUAAACUAGUCGAAUUCCUAGUUUUAUUCGAUAUUGAACGAAUUCCAUAUAUUUAGUUACACUUUUUUCUUUAUCCGAGUUCUGGUUUAUUUACGACAUUUCUUUUUAUAUCUCUGUAGCUUGCGUGGCCUCGUGCUAUAGAAUAUUUAUUAAGAGAGUAAGUUUUCCAAUUUAAGCUUUAUCAUUAGGUAUUUUAAAAAUACAAACAUCCGUAACUUUCCAAGCAAGGCGGUUGAUGAAGUCCACUGCACCCACAGGAGGAUCGAUGGUAACCAAUAAAUAAUGCAUGAGAUGCAUCUGCACGCCCUCGUAAGGUUGUAUAGUUAGGAGAGACUCGUUUAAGGUGGACAUUACGGUUAUACACCGGCGAAAAUUCGUCGAAAUCACGAACCUUGGUUAAUUACAACUACAACGUAUUGAUUAUUCACGCGGAAUGUUUAUCACGUGAAAAAUAAAUUUCAGAACAGAUAAAACAGAUAUUUUCCAUUUAUUUAUUUAUAUAUAUAUACAUAUCGCUAUAUUAUAUUUAUAUAUAAUCAUCAUCAUUUAUUUAUAUAUGUAGAUAAAUUAUGUUUAGAUAAACUAAUCCAGGUAAAUGGAAUUAAUCGCACUUUUUUUGAAAUUAAAGUGCGCAUGUUACACGCCAGGUUGCCAUGGGAAAACAGAAUUUAAGAUAACAUUAUAAUUCGAUAGAGUUAACGUCGCGUAUCUGGCCUUGUCUGCCUACACUUUGAAAUAAUUCAAUACAUACAUCCUUCGAAUGUAUCGAGUACAUGGAAAAAAAUUAAAUGUUACUCGAAUGACUAAUAAUGGGAAAAAGGCAAAAGUGUGUUGGAGUGCGAUUAAAUAGUGAGAGAGUUUGUUGGAAAGGAAAAAAUGGCAUACACCUGGUAUGAACCUAUGGUACGUACACGAUCGUAGAAAGAAAUCAUAAACGAUUUAUAAAGAACACGAUGGUAAUAGUUCUUACUUCUUACAUUGUCAAUAAUUAGGAAAAUUCCGAAGUAUUUUUUCUUAUAUUUAACGGUACAACUAACAAGUUAUUUUACGUGUAUACAGCGAAAUUGAUCAAUCGUAAGUUUUAUGACAACCGAUAAUAAUAUGGAAAUUAUUCGAAGUGAGAUCGGUUCCAAUACAUACAUAUAUACAUAUAUAUGUUAACUGAUAAAAGUACUUCGCUGUAUGCUGUCUCCUCUGUAUUUUCAUAAGACCUUGAAUAACACGUCUCUGAUGAACUAUUCUUUCGUACGAUCGUUCCCUAAUUUACAUAUUCUGAUGUUGACAUAAUAAACAGAAACGUUGUAUCUCGCACAGAAUUGCCGGUGUUAUCAUGAUAUUUCAGUGAACGUCGUUAAUGAAUUGCAGAACAGCUUGAUCGAAAUAUCUAUGUCUAUAUAUAGCGUCGUUACGAAGAUAACUUUGGGAUAAAAAAAUGAAAAUUUACGUAAGCACAGACAAAAAAAAAAAAAAAAUAGAAGAAGAAAUAUCAAAGUGGCGGUUAAAUCAUCGUAAUCGUAACAAAAUUAUUCAUGCUCGAAUCUAAGGAAGCAACAGUAAGGUAUCUUUAAUUAAGAUUCAUAUCGUGCUGGCUCCUAGAGUUUUUCCACGAUUCCUCUCGCAUGAGCGCACGCGACGCGUUCGAGAAUGAAUACAUGGCAGGAACUCACGAGUUUGCGUGAUUGGCAUAUAAAAUACGCACAGAGAAGACAGUUGUACUUUACGUAUGUUGUCUUAGACACAAUGGGGAACACACCGUGAUGUGAACAAUUGCAACGAUGUAGACUUGAGAACAUUGAGAAAAAUCAUGGAAAGUAUAGUUAAUUCUAUAAUAUGUUCGAACGUUACUAUAUUAUAGGAAUAUUCCCAAUUUCUUAUAUAUCUUAGUUGUAAUUGGCGAUUAUCGUUAGAGAUAGAGAUAAUUAGCAAUUAUACUAAUCGGUACUUUUGUCCGAUAAAAAUGAAUUCGAUAAAAGUUGCCUACGACUAUAGCAUUAGAAAUGCUGCUUUACUCAAUUUCUAAAAAAAAAAAAAAAAAAGAAAAAAAGAAAAAAAGAAAAGAAAAGGAAGAAAAAGUUGCAAAACGAGAUCUAAUUACUUGAUAUCUUGAAGUGGAUGUUACUCCGAUUAUACCGUAUAAGUAGAAACGGUUUAUGGAAACUACUGAUCGCGAGACAACGCAGAAAACAACCGGAAGUCUCAACUCAACGAUGAAUCGAUAGAAAGACGUUCUGUUUCGUGACUAUGCAGGCGUUGAAGUCUCUUCUCCGCGCAGAUCAACGGAGGAAGAUUUCUCAGAAAUUCGUCGGGUAUUUGUCACACUUCUGAAGUUGA